AUUGAACGCUGGCGGAAUGCUUUACACAUGCAAGUCGAACGGCAGCACGGACUUCGGUCUGGUGGCGAGCGGCGAACGGGUGAGUAAUGUAUCGGAACGUGCCCAGUCGUGGGGGAUAACGUAGUGAAAAUUACGCUAAUACCGCAUACGAUCUAUGGAUGAAAGCGGGGGAUCGCAAGACCUCGCGCGAUUGGAGCGGCCGAUAUCAGAUUAGGUAGUUGGUGGGGUAAAGGCCCACCAAGCCAACGAUCUGUAGCUGGUCUGAGAGGACGACCAGCGACACUGGAACUGAGACACGGUCCCGACGCCUACGGGAGGCAGCAGUGGGGAAUUUUGGACAAUGGGCGAAAGCCUGAUCCAGCCAUUCCGCGUGCAGGAUGAAGGCCCUCGGGUUGUAAACUGCUUUUGUACAGAACGAAAAGGUUUCUACUAAUACUAGGAGCUCAUGACGGUACUGUAAGAAUAAGCACCGGCUAACUACGUGCCAGCAGCCGCCGUAA
rnacentral:rRNA from 1 species